rnacentral:lncRNA from 1 species
UUAUUGGUAGACAUACCCUUUUCAAUACCAUUCUUGUACACCUGCCUAUGUGGAUGGCAUCUCUGUAAUUUUGUUAAAAAGAAAAGGGUAAAAUUGGAAUUUUGAAUCUGUUUUUUCAUUCUUUCUCAAUCUCAGAGAACUCUGUUCUCGUUCUCUCUUUACCCUCUUCCUCCUCCAACCCCCUCUUGCUACCGCCGCCGCCGCCUCUCUCCUUGCUUGCAUCCAUCCUUUGAUUUUGACUCUCCCUCUCUCUCUCUCUCUCUCUCUCUCUCUCUCUCUCUCUCUC